GGAAGUAAAAGUCGUAACAAGGUCUCCGUUGGUGAACCAGCGGAGGGAUCAUUACCGAGUUUACAACUCCCAAACCCCUGUGAACAUACCUUAAUGUUGCCUCGGCGGAUCAGCCCGCGCCCCGUAAAACGGGACGGCCCGCCAGAGGACCCAAACUCUAAUGUUUCUUAUUGUAACUUCUGAGUAAAACAAACAAAUAAAUCAAAACUUUCAACAACGGAUCUCUUGGUUCUGGCAUCGAUGAAGAACGCAGCAAAAUGCGAUAAGUAAUGUGAAUUGCAGAAUUCAGUGAAUCAUCGAAUCUUUGAACGCACAUUGCGCCCGCUGGUAUUCCGGCGGGCAUGCCUGUUCGAGCGUCAUUUCAACCCUCAAGCCCCCGGGUUUGGUGUUGGGGAUCGGCUCUGCCUCACGGCGGUGCCGCCCCCGAAAUACAUUGGCGGUCUCGCUGCAGCCUCCAUUGCGUAGUAGCUAACACCUCGCAACUGGAACGCGGCGCGGCCAUGCCGUAAAACCCCAACUUCUGAAUGUUGACCUCGGAUCAGGUAGGAAUACCCGCUGAACUUAAGCAUAUCAAUAAGCGGAGGA
rnacentral:rRNA from 1 species